rfam:Ornithorhynchus anatinus chromosome 3, whole genome shotgun sequence.
GCCCUCUCAGGACCACACCUGGAGGGUUUCUGGUACUCUUCCAGUCUUGGCUUCGGGAGGGAGAAUCAAGCAGAAGCAUACACAUUCCAUUCCUAGUUUGGGCAGGGGCUAGCUAGUAGAAGGCAAUCUGCUACAAGG